AGCUCUCACCGAAAUGCCUUCCGAAUUCAAAUCAGACACCCGGCUGGUUUAUUACGUCGAUAUGUAAAUUCUGUACAGCGUCACUACCCUUAUAAAGGCCCUGUUUGAAUUGAAAAUUUAGUUGAACGAGCGAGAGUAAGCCGCAUUCAGCCAGUACGGCCACGUCUUUCAGCCAACUCGCUGCUCCUGAACGCUUUCACGCCGUGAAAAAGUUAAAAUUCUAAAUUUAAAAACCUGUUACCGCCAAAAUGUUCCCGUGUUUGUUUUCAGCCAGGUCUAUGACCAAAGGAGGUCGUCAUUGUGUGUUGUCGCUGACUUUUACUGAACUGACAAUAUUAGUGGUCGGAAAAUCCCGCGUUCGUUGGAAAUCGUCACGGAAACGACACGCUGAAACGAUUACAGCCUGAAAAGUGACAUACCACGUGGCGUUUCAAUCUGUCAAAACAUGACAGAGAUAGAAGAUCGUGGGAGGGAGAAGACAUGAUGGCUACCAAAUAAUGGAGAUAAGUACGGUGGCCGACAGGCUGGCGGAAGUGCGUCACACGCGCACCGGAAGUGACGUCACGCCGGCCUCGGACACCGGAAGUGGACCGUGGCGCCGCUGCCGGAACCGGAAGUCGCCGCAACAAGCGAUACUGUCUUAGAGGUUGUCGUCGCUGAUGAAAGAGGCUUCGGAUCAAAUUUACUCAAGAUUAUUGGAGGCUUACAUUAGUACACCUACUUACCUGAAAACCUUUGAAAAGCAAUGAAAUUUAAGAUACAACAAUAAAAU